CUUCCAUAAGUUGGCAUCAGGACAGUAAGAGUGCAGGACUCAUCAGGCAAGUGAAGCAGAGUUGCCAGCCAUCUAUGGAUCCUAACUAAAUUGGUCCUUGUAAUACUCGGUAUUAUUUGCCAAGAUAUUGAAAAACCUCUAAACAGUGAGAAGCUCCCAGCCCCUUUUCUGUGUCUCUCAUCACCAGCUGCUGUGCCCUGAGGACACCCAGGCAGCCUAAGGAGAGGCCCACAGGUGAGAAACUGCAUGUGUGAGCUGAGCUUGGAAGUGGAUCUUCUAUGUUUUGCCAACAGCCACGUGACUAGUUUUGGAAGCAGAUUCUCCAGCCCCAGCUGCACCUGUGCCAGAGGCACCCAUUAAGCCGCACCUAGUUAAAUUCCUGACCCACAAAGACUUUGAAAUCAUAAAUGUUUGUUGUUUUAAGCUGCUAAGUUUUGAAGUAAUCUGCCAUGUAGCAACAUGAAACUACUUGGACCAAAUAUGUGUUUUUCUAAGCACAGGAAUAUUCACACUUUAUUAAACUUGAGUAUUCCAACAAUAGGAUGGAAGUCCAAGUUUUAUUUCUUUGCUGGGACCCUCACAUGCAUGUAUCAC
rnacentral:lncRNA from 1 species